UCUCCGUUGGUGAACCAGCGGAGGGAUCAUUACAGAGUUGCAAAACUCCCAAACCCUUGUAAACGUUACCUAUCCCGUUGCUUCGGCGGGCGGCCCGGGCCCCGCGCCCGGCGCCCCCCGGCCCCCCGUGGGCGCCCGCCGGAGGUAAACCAAACCCUUGAAUUGCAUGGCCUCUCUGAGUCUUCUGUACUGAAUAAGUCAAAACUUUCAACAACGGAUCUCUUGGUUCUG
rnacentral:misc_RNA from 1 species